rnacentral:lncRNA from 1 species
UAAGUUGAUUUGAAGAAGUUACCUGCAGAUCUGGCCAAAUGGGAUGGUUGUUGGAGGAGAUACAUGGAUGAUUUGAUGAAGCACUUUCUUCAUUGUUUCCUGCCGUAUAUACAAAAAAUGUUAUUAAAAAAAUAGUAUAUCUAAUAUAUAAAAUUUGAAGAAAUUGGUUUAGUCCACUUACUCAUCUAAAUCAGAAUCGGGGAAGUGCCGGAUCUUGAACUUUCAGCAACUAUAAGAAAUAACAUGCAUAUUAGGUAUAAAAAAAAUGUGUCGGACAAAAAUCUAGAAAAAACUUCCUACCGGGAUAACAAAUCAACAAUCGACUAAAAAUACAAAAAUGGAACUUUGAUUCUUGUCGUAAGUUUUAACUAUUAUAAUUGGUAAGAUUGUUGCCAAUGUAGAUGUCGAGGGGAUAGAUAGG